AGAGUUUGAUCAUGGCUCAGAUUGAACGCUGGCGGCAGGCCUAACACAUGCAAGUCGAACGGUAACAGGAAGCAGCUUGCUGCUUUGCUGACGAGUGGCGGACGGGUGAGUAAUGUCUGGGAAACUGCCUGAUGGAGGGGGAUAACUACUGGAAACGGUGGCUAAUACCGCAUAACGUCGCAAGACCAAAGAGGGGGACCUUCGGGCCUCUUGCCAUCAGAUGUGCCCAGAUGGGAUUAGCUUGUUGGUGAGGUAACGGCUCACCAAGGCGACGAUCCCUAGCUGGUCUGAGAGGAUGACCAGCCACACUGGAACUGAGACACGGUCCAGACUCCUACGGGAGGCAGCAGUGGGGAAUAUUGCACAAUGGGCGCAAGCCUGAUGCAGCCAUGCCGCGUGUAUGAAGAAGGCCUUCGGGUUGUAAAGUACUUUCAGCGGGGAGGAAGGUGUUGUGGUUAAUAACCACAGCAAUUGACGUUACCCGCAGAAGAAGCACCGGCUAACUCCGUGCCAGCAGCCGCGGUAAUACGGAGGGUGCAAGCGUUAAUCGGAAUUACUGGGCGUAAAGCGCACGCAGGCGGUCUGUCAAGUCGGAUGUGAAAUCCCCGGGCUCAACCUGGGAACUGCAUUCGAAACUGGCAGGCUUGAGUCUUGUAGAGGGGGGUAGAAUUCCAGGUGUAGCGGUGAAAUGCGUAGAGAUCUGGAGGAAUACCGGUGGCGAAGGCGGCCCCCUGGACAAAGACUGACGCUCAGGUGCGAAAGCGUGGGGAGCAAACAGGAUUAGAUACCCUGGUAGUCCACGCCGUAAACGAUGUCUACUUGGAGGUUGUGCCCUUGAGGCGUGGCUUCCGGAGCUAACGCGUUAAGUAGACCGCCUGGGGAGUACGGCCGCAAGGUUAAAACUCAAAUGAAUUGACGGGGGCCCGCACAAGCGGUGGAGCAUGUGGUUUAAUUCGAUGCAACGCGAAGAACCUUACCUGGUCUUGACAUCCACAGAAGAAUCCAGAGAUGGAUUUGUGCCUUCGGGAACUGUGAGACAGGUGCUGCAUGGCUGUCGUCAGCUCGUGUUGUGAAAUGUUGGGUUAAGUCCCGCAACGAGCGCAACCCUUAUCCUUUGUUGCCAGCGGUUAGGCCGGGAACUCAAAGGAGACUGCCAGUGAUAAACUGGAGGAAGGUGGGGAUGACGUCAAGUCAUCAUGGCCCUUACGACCAGGGCUACACACGUGCUACAAUGGCGCAUACAAAGAGAAGCGACCUCGCGAGAGCAAGCGGACCUCAUAAAGUGCGUCGUAGUCCGGAUUGGAGUCUGCAACUCGACUCCAUGAAGUCGGAAUCGCUAGUAAUCGUGGAUCAGAAUGCCACGGUGAAUACGUUCCCGGGCCUUGUACACACCGCCCGUCACACCAUGGGAGUGGGUUGCAAAAGAAGUAGGUAGCUUAACCUUCGGGAGGGCGCUUACCACUUUGUGAUUCAUGACUGGGGUGAAGUCGUAACAAGGUAACCGUAGGGGAACCUGCGGUUGGAUCACCUCCUU
rnacentral:rRNA from 1 species